UUUUUUAUCCAAUCAAAGAUGGUAUGAUUUUUUUGCCAAAUUUCAUGUUAGAUUUAUUUUGCUAGUUCAACCAAUCAAAGAACCUCUUGAACCAAGAACUCAAGAAGCAAUCAUAGACAGGAAAAUUACGAAAAAAGGAAAAGUAGAAAAGCAAACAGAAUUGUACAUCGCAUAAAUUUUAUGCGACUUAUAAUCCCUUCGGAAAAAGCUACAAUAUAUUUGCUUUCAGUUUGCAUUCCCUCUAAAAGUUGCCCGUCACUCGUACGCUUCUCUAGGAAUUAGGUCAACAAUGAGAUCGACCUAUACUCGCCUUUUCUUUGAUCUUGCACUGAAGCCUUUUCUUUGAUCUUGCACUUCCAGUGAAGGAUAUAUUAUAUAUGCUUGGAUGAAUGUUGAUAACCUGCUUAAAUUUGGAGUCUGGAUGAUCGAUCGAUAGGAUUUGCUUCAUCGUUGACAGGUCAGAACCAUCCAGAUCUAUCGUUGAGGUGCAUUCCUGUUGGAACAUUCCAGACUAAGAGUGAGUGGGCUAGAAAGCAACGUAGUUCUUUGCUCUAAAUGUCUAUGAGACCUCCAUUUGUUACUUCCUCAUAGUAAGUGUUUCCAUUAAGUCUACAAAGAUCCCAGGAGUGUAGCCGACCGGACCAUUAUAGCUUCAGGAUCACUAUACAAAUGAUGGCUAUUUUUGUAGUGACAUGUCUAAUGGGACCCUUCAUCCUAUGCCAUAAGUGCUAAUUUCCACUCUUGGGUAUUUCCCAUUAGAUCAAGACAUUUCCUUUUCUGCAGGCACUCAAGUAGCUGGGACACUUGGAUCUUCUGAGGCCAGUGAUGUGGACUUCCACGUGAAGCAAAAUACACGUGCUCCAAUUAAUGCCAUGCACACAGAAACGUUCCAUUCAGCAUCAUUUCUUGACUGGUAACCUUCCACUAUGGUGGUACUUUUCCAACUUAUAUGAAUCAUAUCUUUCACCAAAUUGGAAUAUAUAGAGCUAGGAAUCCAUGCCGACUUAGCAAAAGAUAGCACCGUGUAAGAAAAAGAUGUGUAUAGGCGAUACUAACAUAGUCGUGUUAGUAUGUUUAUUUUAGAUCAUAUGCUUUCUAGGAGUCUUUUAGCUCUAUCAAAUAUUAUGCUAGUAUAAGAUAUAAAGAACUUCUUACUUUUA